AAAUGCAGAAAUGCACCUAAAUAUUCUCAUAUAGAUCUCAUUGAUAAAACAUUAGCAGAAGGCACUGAGCGAGUCAUGGAUAAAGAAGGACGAUGCUUCUCCUCUCCGAUAAAAGAUUGGAUCAGCCCAACAAGACGGACCAUAUCUUACUGGAAUUUGUUAAUCUUCCUUGGUGAAAUUGCUAAGAAAAGAGUAUUUUGACCGUGGUUGUCUCAGAAACUCUCCUGGAAAAUGUUGGUUGAUGCUCUCAGUCAACCUUCAAUUGGAUUGUCCCAGAAAGAAAAGCAAGUCUCACAAGAACACAACGUAACUCUACAAGAGAAAUCCUCAAAAGCAAUUCAUUUGUCUGUCCUGGCAAGGACUUUCUCCAAUCGUUUGCUGCCAUCAUUGGCUCUCGAUGGCAGUGUCUUGCUUCUCCCCUCUCCCUCACUUCUGAAGACAUUGUGAGCAUCAAGAGAGAGACAAGAGGAGCAGAGCCGACCAAACAAGCACUCGUCAUACUGCAGAAGUGCAUGGGAAACCAGACAGACGGCAACUUAUGAUCAUGCAGUUCAUAUAUCUGAGAACUUUAGUAUCAGGACAAGUAAAUGUACCUGUAGCUACGUUCAAUUGCACCUGUAUAACUAUUGUUAUAUGUCACCAUGUUUGUGUCUUAGAACUUCAGAAUUUAUAUGGUAUUACCUUGUCAAUUAAAUUAUAAUUAUUUUCAAUACACCAUGCAUGCAUGCAUAGCUAUUUAUAUACCGCAAUUAUUUAUAGUAUCAUUUGGUUACCUCAAUUCUUAUCAGUCAUUGUUUCCCCAACCAAUUUUUGUACUAGAUCUAG